AGACGUCUACGAGUUUGAUCAUGGCUCAGGAUGAACGCUAGCGGCAGGCUUAAUACAUGCAAGUCGAGGGGCAGCAUGACUGUAGCAAUACAGUUGAUGGCGACCGGCAAACGGGUGCGGAACACGUACAGAACCUUCCUUCGAGCGGGGAAUAACUCAGGGAAACUUGAGCUAAUACCAUAUAAUGUCUUCGGACCAAAGAUUUAUCGCCCAAGGAUGAGCCCGCGUAGGAUUAGCUAGUUGGUGAGGUAAAGGCUCACCAAGGCGACGAUCCUUAGCUGGUCUGAGAGGAUGAUCAGCCACACUGGGACUGAGACUCGGCCCAGACUCCUACGGGAGGCAGCAGUGGGGAAUAUUGGACAAUGGGCGAAAGCCUGAUCCAGCAAUGCCGCGUGAGUGAUGAAGGCCUUAGGGUUGUAAAGCUCUUUUACCCGGGAUGAUAAUGACAGUACCGGGAGAAUAAGCUCCGGCUAACUCCGUG
rnacentral:rRNA from 1 species